UACAGAGGGUGCGAGCGUUUUCCGGAAUCACUGGGCGUAAAGGGCGCGUAGGCGGCCCGAUAAGUAGGGGGUGAAAUCUUGCGGCUCAACCGCAAGGCUGCCUUCUAGACUGUCGGGCUUGAGCACAGUAGAGGCAGGUGGAAUUCCCGGUGUAGCGGUGGAAUGCGUAGAGAUCGGGAAGAACAUCGGUGGCGAAGGCGGCCUGCUGGGCUGUUGCUGACGCUGAGGCGCGACAGCGUGGGGAGCAAACAGG
rnacentral:rRNA from 1 species